AUCUUCCACAAUGGACGAAAGUCUGAUGGAGCAACGCCGCGUGAGUGAAGAAGGUUUUCGGAUCGUAAAGCUCUGUUGUUGGUGAAGAAGGAUAGAGGUAGUAACUGGCCUUUAUUUGACGGUAAUCAACCAGAAAGUCACGGCUAACUACGUGCCAGCAGCCGCGGUAAUACGUAGGUGGCAAGCGUUGUCCGGAUUUAUUGGGCGUAAAGCGAGCGCAGGCGGAAGAAUAAGUCUGAUGUGAAAGCCCUCGGCUUAACCGAGGAACUGCAUCGGAAACUGUUUUUCUUGAGUGCAGAAGAGGAGAGUGGAACUCCAUGUGUAGCGGUGGAAUGCGUAGAUAUAUGGAAGAACACCAGUGGCGAAGGCGGCUCUCUGGUCUGCAACUGACGCUGAGGCUCGAAAGCAUGGGUAGCGAA
rnacentral:rRNA from 1 species